CAAAAAAAAAAAAAACAAGCUAAUCCAAAGCAAACUUUCAUUUUAAUCUAACAGCUCAAACUGGUGUUGUCAAACUCUUUACAAUAAUGGGGGAAACAAAAACCCCUCUAGAACUCUUACUCAAAGGCUUUUCUUUAAAAUGCACGGCCCUACUCAUGCACUCGUGCAAAUACUGUUGCACAUUUGAUUUUUCUGUGGCGACACAGUCAGUAGGAACCGCGCGGGCAUGUAUGUACCUGCAGCAGUUUCUGUUGCCUUCAGACCAACUGUCACUGCGCUUGUGCUGAAGCACUUGUACGGAUGUGUUGCAACCCGCCACUCAAAGAAGACCCCCCAAAAACACUUUUUUUGAAGAGUAAAGCAGAACUUCAGGCGUCGAUGCCCACAUGUUUUCCAACAUACCCUGCUCUAUGUUCUAAUUGGCUGGACACACCUGAACCAGUGUCUCCAAACACCCUGGGGACGUACAAGACGUGGAACAAAUAAAUGCGGCUCUUUGAAAAUGCAGAGGACAAAGGAUGCACACGGGGAAGGAAACAGGAAACAGGACAUCAAGACGGGAAGUGCGGCAACAACAUCGCUGCUCUGGUCCUCCACUUCAUUACACACUUGAAAAUCCCCUCCCACCUAAUCCUCUGCACUUGUGAAGUGCUGGCGUGCCUCUGGUAGCUAUGGAAACAACAGCAUGUAGGCUGCUUGAAAUGCAUUCAAAGCAAUCUGACUGUGAAUUCAGGACUUUCCCACCCACAAGAGGGAGAAAAAGAACAUUCAUCAGUUUUAUGUUAACGCACAAAUGUGCACAAAAAUUAAGACAGUUUUACAUGCAUUUCAAUUUGGAUUUAGGCAAAAUCAUCAGUACAUUAUAGCAGUGUGAUAGUGAACACUUUUUGAUUAUUUUACUUAAAUUUGUAGAUUAAAGACGCCCUUUUAACCUGCCUUCCAUUCUGCCUCGGUCAAAGCUACAUUAAAAAAAAACCCCUUUUUUUUUCAAAAUGGUGAAUUUUCUAUUGGUUUUAGCUCCAUAGCAACCACUUAAUUUUUUGGUCGCCUGGGGUUGAGGAACAAGUCUGUAUAUUUUAACGAAGAAUCUGCAAACGUGAAUUCUUGGAUUUCCUUGGCAACAGAGUUUUUCUGAUAAUAACGCUGACAUUUCUAGUAUGAUCGUAUCACAUGUUAUGGCGUUUUUGUUCAGCCUGAUUCUGGGAUUCAUUUUUUUAAUAUUUUCACAAUAUUUUAAUGAAAAAAAUGUAAUAAAGCAAUGCCAUAUUUACAAGCUCAUCACGCUAACACCGUUAAAAACCAACAACUUCUAAAUCUAACAUUUUCCCCGAGUUUUCCACCUCAGUGAUGCUUGAGGAGUCCCUAAGAUUAGUUUAAAUGUGUAACUGGUACCAAACGUGACUAUCUGGAAAAAUUCAAGAUGGCUGCUUUUUCCUGAGGUCAAAGGUCAGCAAAACUUGCGGUUGUAGACUCAACUUGGUGGCAUGUGAGUGACAUUUUGUGAAGAUCCCUUGAAGAAUCUUUUCCCAUAUUGUGCAAAAUUGUGAAAAUGUUCAUAUUUUGCAACAAAAUAGGAAUUUGUAGAUCCUGUGGGCAUCAUGUAAUUAUUUUGAAGCCUCCUUUAGACAUCCCUGACAUGUAUUUUUUGGUUUUGUUAAUGAAUUUUUUAAAUAUUUUCUUUUUUAAAUGGUUUUUCUCACUGUGAUGUCAUCUAGGCGUUUGCAUCAUCAUCUAGGUGACUAGGUGUGAGCAAAUUUUGGUGAGUUUUUGAGUGUGUGGCAGGGGUCAAAUUUGCUCUCAAACUGGGCUAAGAAAAGAGAAUUGCCAAACAAUGCGGGGUCAUAAUAAUCAUAAAUACGUCAGACACCAAAUUGACAAAUGAUGGUAAAGCGUUUGUAAGUACCAAUUAGAAUGCAUCAUUAUGCCUUUCUCAAAUGCUCUUUGAAUGUGAGAUGACAUUUUUAAAGGUUAUCUCAAUUUAAAUGUAUUGACUGUCAUCAAACAUUUAAUUUGUGAUAUUUUUUUUAUCCAUUUGUCACAGGUUAAAACUGAAGAUAUUUUUUUUCCAGUGUCACCAUCUGUUCUCUCCCUGCUUUGAUGUUUCCAUUCUUCGUGUCCUUAUAGCUGCUCAUUGGUCUGCUCCAGUUACUGCCCUGACCCGUGGUAUUUACAGCCUAUAGCCCUGACACAGCUGUCAUGUGGAAUGUAAGCAACUGUUUGAAUCACUGUAAAAAUUAGAAGGAAAAAAAUAAAAA